CCCAAGGACAGCCCCUACUAUAUUCUGAGAAUUCAGUUGGCAGGAGCGUACCCAUGCAAGAUCUGCAUCUGGGCCGUGGCAGUCAGACCGAGCUCCUUCUCCUGGGAGGGGGCAUCCGGGCAAGAGGAGAGAACCAGCACGCGGUGUGCAGCAUGAUGGGGAAUCAGCAGAAACAGAACUACCCAGGCUUGGCUCGGGAAUCAGAUACGCCAGGCAGGAAUUCGCCCUUGGGAAGCUGUUGCUUAACCCUCUGGUUCCUCGGGCUCCCUGCCUCCUUGACAGAGGCCAAGGCAAACAAGGAUUCCGGGUGAGACCAGACCGACCAGCCGAUGCCAGCUCACUUGGGGUUAGACCGGGGCUGGGAGGGGCCCAGGCAACCCUGCAGGAUGCCGGGUGCUGGGUAGGGCCCCAGGGGGAGGCAGGUUUCUGCAGCUCCCUUUUCCCAGUGGAAAAGCUCAGGAUUCCCAAAGGCUGUUGGGCAAGAGUCUCAAAUUGUCUUCAGACUGGGUCUAAUCUAGCUAGAACCACUUGGGAGCCAGGAUGUAGCUGGAUCCAGUGACAGGCGUCGCUGAGAAGGGAAGAGAGGUCCGGCGACAACUGGGAUCUCCAGUUGACCCAGUCUCAAGGGUGAGCCCAGCCCCUGGGUGUAGGGCUAGGAUCUGUGGCCUUUGGCCAACAGCCGACAACUUGGUAGAGGGUUUCUUCCAUUAUCAGAGGGAAGGGAAGGGGGAGAGGCAUGGGAGAUGGUUGUCUGGGUGUGUUUAUUUUCUUUUAAAAUAUCAACUUGAGUGGGGGGUGCCCACAGGGACACGUAGGGCACGUCGAUGGUCAGCCUGUUCGCUGGGCAAUCCAUGUAAUCUCUGUCCUGCACUGUAUACUGUUGGCACUUGACCAAUGGGUGAAACGCCCCCGUCAUGGCGGCCAUCUUUACGUGAGCAUCUGGACGGCACAGAGGGCUUCUGACACUCACCAGGACUUCUUUCCCAUUAAAAACGGACAGGCUGCAGCAGUCUGGAAGGAGACCAGGGAGAUUAACUCUAAGUUGAAAACAUUUCUCCUUUCUCCAGGAGCCCAAAUAGCACACUGGAGAUCUUGAAGAAUAGGGAGAGGAGGGUUAGCUGACAGUCGGUGCUGUCCUCAGACGAGGUGUCUCUGAUGAAUGAAAUCCCAGGGAGUGCAUUUCUGCUCUUAUAUCUGUCUCUGGCCAGGGCGGUGAGACUAGGCACCUGAUCCUUCUAGUCCAUCGAUUUGCUGUUACUCAGCUCCAAACGCAGAAGUUCAGAGGACAAGCUGCUCCCAGGAGGUCACAAACAGCCUCAACAGUUCAAGAAGGUAAAAAUUGGUGGUUGGAGGUGAGAGAAGCCAGCGAGGGAGGAAGACCACGUCCCAAGGAGGCUCAUGCUCACCACUGUCCGGGUUUUGAAACUCUAGUUUGCCCUGGGGCGCCUGGGGGGCUCAGUCGGUUACACGUCGGACUCUUGGUUUCAGCUCAGGUCGUGAUCUCACAGUUUCGUGGGUUCGAGCCCCGCAUGGGGCUCUGUGCCCACAGCCUUGACAGGGCGGAGCCUGCUUGGGAUUCUCUGUCUCCCUCUCUCUCUGCUCCUCCCCCGCUCGAGCGGUCUCUGUCUCUCUCAAAAUAAAUAAAUACACUUAAAAAAAAAAAAAUCAAGUUUGCUCUCUUCGGUCCCUUGGCUUUGAGGCUGUCUCGACAGACACGAGGAGAAGGCUCAGUACGUGGGAGACAGGCCAUCUGGGCCGGGACCAAAGAGCUGCACAUUCUCAGGUGAGUUCGGGUGAGUCACCGGCCCAGGCCUCUUUCUAGUUAAGCAGAGGCCAUGCCCCAGUUUUGAACACCUGAAGGCCCUGCGGUGGUGGGUGAGGAGCCCGCCCUGAUCUGCAUACAAUGGGGGACAAUUGAAGGUCCAGGUUGGAGAACCGGAACUGAGAACCCACUGCCCUCCGUGCUGCCCCUAGGGGUCUUAUCCCCUUAUUCGCUUCAGUGCUUCCUGGUCCCCUGAGCCAUGCAAGCCUGGCUCCCCUCAAUUCACUGGGGGUGGGGGGAAAGGGGGGUGCCUUUUUGAGUAGUCCUCAGCCAACCCCUC
rnacentral:lncRNA from 1 species